UCCGGUUUGUCACCGGCAGUCUCAUUAGAGUGCCCUUGCGUAGCAACUAAUGAUAAGGGUUGCGCUCGUUGCGGGACUUAACCCAACAUCUCACGACACGAGCUGACGACGGCCAUGCAGCACCUGUGUCCUAGUUCUCUUUCGGGCACACUCACAUCUCUGCGAGCUUCCUAGCAUGUCAAGGGUAGGUAAGGUUUUUCGCGUUGCAUCGAAUUAAUCCACAUAAUCCACCGCUUGUGCGGGUCCCCGUCAAUUCCUUUGAGUUUUAGCCUUGCGACCGUACUCCCCAGGCCCAGAGGGUCGCUCCCCCAGGCACCUAGUACCCAUCGUUUACGGCGUGGACUAC
rnacentral:misc_RNA from 1 species